rnacentral:rRNA from 1 species
AAGCCUGAACCAGCCAAGUCGCGUGAGGGAUGAAGGUUCUAUGGAUCGUAAACCUCUUUUAUAAGGGAAUAAAGUGCGGGACGUGUCCCGUUUUGUAUGUACCUUAUGAAUAAGGAUCGGCUAACUCCGUGCCAGCAGCCGCGGUAAUACGGAGGAUCCGAGCGUUAUCCGGAUUUAUUGGGUUUAAAGGGUGCGUAGGCGGCCUUUUAAGUCAGCGGUGAAAGUCUGUGGCUCAACCAUAGAAUUGCCGUUGAAACUGGGAGGCUUGAGUAUGUUUGAGGCAGGUGGAAUGCGUGGUGUAGCGGUGAAAUGCAUAGAUAUCACGCAGAACCCCGAUUGCGAAGGCAGCCUGCCAAGCCAUUACUGACGCUGAUGCACGAAAGCGUGGGGAUCAAACAGGAUUAGAUACCCUGGUAGUCCACGCAGUAAACGAUGAUCACUAGCUGUUUGCGAUACACUGUAAGCGGCACAGCGAAAGCGUUAAGUGAUCCACCUGGGGAGUACGCCGGCAACGGUGAAACUCAAAGGAAUUGACGGGGGCCCGCACAAGCGGAGGAACAUGUGGUUUAAUUCGAUGAUACGCGAGGAACCUUACCCGGGUUUGAACGCAUUUUGACAGCUCUGGAAACAGAGCCUCUAGCAAUAGCGAUUUGCGAGGUGCUGCAUGGUUGUCGUCAGCUCGUGCCGUGAGGUGUCGGCUUAAGUGCCAUAACGAGCGCAACCCUUGCCACUAGUUACUAACAGGUAAAGCUGAGGACUCUGGUGGGACUGCCAGCGUAAGCUGCGAGGAAGGCGGGGAUGACGUCAAAUCAGCACGGCCCUUACAUCCGGGGCGACACACGUGUUACAAUGGCGUGGACAAAGGGAGGCCACCUGGCGACAGGGAGCGAAUCCCCAAACCACGUCUCAGUUCGGAUCGGAGUCUGCAACCCGACUCCGUGAAGCUGGAUUCGCUAGUAAUCGCGCAUCAGCCAUGGCGCGGUGAAUACGUUCCCGGGCCUUGUACACACCGCCCGUCAAGCCAUGGGAGCCGGGGGUACCUGAAGUCCGUAACCGAAAGGAUCGGCCUAGGGUAAAACUGGUGACUGGGGCUAAGUCGUAACAAGGUAGCCGUACCGGAAGGUGCGGCUG